GAGUACCCUCAUGUUCAUUGAGGGUAAUGUUUUUGUGCUCAUUGCCACUUCUGCUUCUGAAAGCCAUUGAAUGUGCAUUUCAUAUCUGAUACUGGGCAAGCUAUGCUCUGAAAUUCUCCUGAAUAGUGGCUUCUUUCAUGUUCUGCCUGCAGUAGGAACAAUGUGAUAGUAUAAGCUCCUUGGGAGCAGACAUUUUGUCUUUUUUUUCUGAAUAUCUGCAAUACACAGCAAAAGUCAUGGGCAUUUAGGAUCCAUUUAGCUACAAAUGACAGAAAACACAGCUACAAAUUGGCUUAACUAAUAAAAGUGCAGCUAUGAGACAGGUGUUCUCAUUACCAGCGUACAGAAGACCUUGAGUCUUGGGAAGUUUAAGUGACUUGUAAGGUCUAACAAGUGGUUGGUGUUUGGCUGGAAAUCAGGAAAAUCCAGUGGUGUGGAUGACCAAAGAGCAGCCAGGAUGGGAGACAGCUAGACAGAGCCUGCAGGCCCCUCUGGAAUACUUUCACUAUCAGAACACAAUGAAUGAAAAACCUUUAAAAACUCCUAUGAGUUACAGAGAAAGCUUCCAGUGAAGAUGGUGGUGUUGGCUGACUCUAGGAAAUGGAAGAGAAGAAAAACAGAACAGCAGGAGCAAAAAAAAAUAAAGGCAAUAUUCCA